GAAGGAAAAAGAGCAUUUAAGUAUAAACAAUAACAAUAGUGGGGACUCGCAGGUCCCUAUUGCAACUGGAACCAUAAUGUCAUACAUAAAACAAGUGUAUUGCCCAUUAUUUAAGUCAAUUUCAAGUCGAUGUAGACGGGAUUUUGCGAACGAGUGUAUACCAGCAGUCAUCACAGUUUGUGGUAAAGAGUUUCUCUCUUCUCCCUGACAAAAGUAUGUAUGUCGUUAAGCUACUUCAGAGAGGGCCGCAUUUCGUAGGCCUUCCAUGUCCCCAAGAACAACCAGGUCCCUGCAGCUAAUGAGGCGUAAUGCAAUGGUGGUGGUUCGGUCAGCCUGUGCGUCCCCGGGUUCCUAGAUGUCUCAUGCGGUCAAUAUAUACUCACAACUUUUAAGACUUUUCUUUCUGUGUAAACAUUAAACCAAACUGUUAUAUGUGAUAAAAUCAGUAAUUAGG